UACGUAGGGUGCAAGCGUUGUCCGGAAUUAUUGGGCGUAAAGGGCUCGUAGGCGGUCUGUCACGUCGGGAGUGAAAACUCAGGGCUUAACCCUGAGCCUGCUUCCGAUACGGGCAGACUAGAGUGCGGUAGGGGAGAUUGGAAUUCCUGGUGUAGCGGUGGAAUGCGCAGAUAUCAGGAGGAACACCGAUGGCGAAGGCGGCGACCUGGACAGUAACUGACGCUGAGACGCGAAAGCGUGGGUAGCAAACAGG
rnacentral:rRNA from 1 species